rnacentral:rRNA from 1 species
UCUCUGGGUGGCGAGUGGCGGACGGGUGAGGAAUACAUCGGAAUCUACCUUUUCGUGGGGGAUAACGUAGGGAAACUUACGCUAAUACCGCAUACGACCUUAGGGUGAAAGCGGAGGACCUUCGGGCUUCGCGCGGAUAGAUGAGCCGAUGUCGGAUUAGCUAGUUGGCGGGGUAAAGGCCCACCAAGGCGACGAUCCGUAGCUGGUCUGAGAGGAUGAUCAGCCACACUGGAACUGAGACACGGUCCAGACUCCUACGGGAGGCAGCAGUGGGGAAUAUUGGACAAUGGGCGCAAGCCUGAUCCAGCCAUGCCGCGUGGGUGAAGAAGGCCUUCGGGUUGUAAAGCCCUUUUGUUGGGAAAGAAAAGCAGUCGGUUAAUACCCGAUUGUUCUGACGGUACCCAAAGAAUAAGCACCGGCUAACUUCGUGCCAGCAGCCGCGGUAAUACGAAGGGUGCAAGCGUUACUCGGAAUUACUGGGCGUAAAGCGUGCGUAGGUGGUUGUUUAAGUCCGUUGUGAAAGCCCUGGGCUCAACCUGGGAAUUGCAGUGGAUACUGGGCAACUAGAGUGUGGUAGAGGAUGGCGGAAUUCCCGGUGUAGCAGUGAAAUGCGUAGAGAUCGGGAGGAACAUCUGUGGCGAAGGCGGCCA